rnacentral:piRNA from 1 species
AGAUGAAAUUAUAUGCAGAACAUGG